rnacentral:sRNA from 1 species
UAGAAGGAGGCAGAUCAUCUCAAGCGACCCCAGUGGGAAUUAAGUCAAGUUCAGAACCUUCGUCCUUCUGAAAUGGCCUGCAGGAAGCCAGCCAGGUGCCAGGAAGCCUCCAUACCUUACUGUGAAGGGCCUCACAAAACCACCUUGCAGUGAAGGCAUUGCUCCACUCACUUUGCAGAUAUGGAAACUGAGGCUCAGAAAGAAGUAACUUGGCUUGUCACAUGAUCUGCCUCUUUAAUCAGUGGAGGAAAAUGCAUGUGUUUUGAGCCUCAGCUUUGCAACCCAGCUCUGGAAAUCACUUCUCGGAGCAGCAGUACCUCCAUCAGUUAUGCCAGGAUAAUAAACUCUAGCUCCUAGGGUUUUGGAGCGGGGAAAUUAGAGAUGAUCUUGGUGAAGGCUUGAGAAACCAUAACACUUCAGUAAAUAGUAGUUUC